CUCUUCCGAUCUGCUCGAGAGGACAUAAUUUUUUUUAUCAAGGGAAAGAAUCUAGGGUUAGUGAAAACUAAUAAAUUAGGCCAACUUUGUCAGUCUAUCCUUAAUAUAGAAAUAAAUCGAAAGGUUAAAAUAAGAAGAAAGUCCAAUAAAAGUAUAUCAGAAUCAAUCCCUCUUAUUAGAUUUUAA